CUUACAGGUCGGUGCCGAGCCGCGUGAAGCCGGAGUUGAGCGAGGCCCGGGCUAUCCGGCGCCAGAGCAGGUCGCAGCUGGUGAAGCGCCGCAGCCAGCGGCACACCUGAGCCAGGCGGCCGAGGGCCUGCAUGUCCAGAAGAUGAAACUGAAGCAUAUGGUCACACCGUUCCUAAAUAACAGAACAGUACCCACGCCUCCCUAGAUGUUCUUUAGCAUAACAUCAACUCAGUCAAAAGAGAUCAACAAAUAUUUACAGAGGAGGAAGGAGAGACAGAUGGGGAAGGGGACAGCUGUGAUUACUGACCCAUCCUGCCCCAGCUUUCCCUCAGAGUGGCUUUGGAUACAAGCUCAAAGCAGCAAUUAAGCUGGUUCCUGAACUUUGGUCCAGCACUUCCAAAGGCACCUCCACCCUCCAGCAAGUCAUCCUGCCUUGUGUCCUGUUUCCCAGCUGAAGUUUGGCUUCUCCAUCCCUCACUCUUCUCCACCUCCAGCUCCUCCUGUGCUCUUCCCCAGGGUGCAGGUACUCACAACUAGGAUAACAUGGAGAACUUAACAAAGAGGAGGAGGAAGAAGAGAAAUUUUAAAACUCAAGCUGAGCCCAGCCCCAUCAGAAAGAACUAGUCCUGAGGCUGCAAGGACUAGACGCGACUGUGACAUUUGCCCACUAGGCAUAGUAUGUAUGUUCGUGCUAAGCUGCUUCAGUCGUGUCUGACUCUUUUCGACCCUAUGCCCCAGGCUCCUCUGCCCUAUUCCCGACCCAGAGGUCAAACCCAUGUCUCUUUACAUCUCCAGCAUUGGCAGGCGGGUUCCUUACCACUAGCGCCACCUGGGAAGCUCCACUAGGCUCAGUGGAACCACGGAAGCCCCAUCUGAAAGAAUCAGCCCAUCAGAAGGCACUCAGGUGAGCUGGGUCUUUCUGCCACUGAGACCACCCCAGGCCCUGAGGAUUUGCAUGACUUAAAGUCACACAGAAGCCCCAGUACCUGCACAGUAAGGCUCUUCCCUGAGGAGAAGCCUGGAAAAGAUUUGGAAAGGCGGGGGGGGCAGGUGGGGAGAGUAGCAGCAGAGCUGUAGAAAGGAUGGAGGGACAGCAAAGGUGGGGAGACAGCGUCAGGUGGCCUCCGGAAUGAGAGCGAUGGCCUGUGAGGUGUGGGUGGGGCAAGAUGAGAAGGUAUGAAGGAAAGAUUACAGAGGGGAUUGGCGGUUCUGUGGAACCUGUGGGGAAGGGGCUCCUCCUCUCUUCUCCAGGGUGGGCUUGAAAAGGAUAAGGAAUGGUGACUGAGAGCUCACUCGGUGCUACUUUACAUACCUUUAAUCCUAAGAGGGAGGUUGAGUAAUUUGCUCAAAAUUCCACAGUUAUUAAUUGAUACAGCCAACUUUCAACCUCAGAUCUGACUCCUAGAUGCCUGGCUGUCUUCCGAGCCUAAGGGCCUUCCCAGCUCCACACCUGUACAAGGGGUGCACUGAGAGAGGAGAGAAGGGGAGAAAGACGGCAGUGCGAGGAGAUGAGGGAAGAAGGGAGCAACCAAGAUACGGAAAAAGAAGAGAACAGGAAGGGGAUAGGAAAGAGAAGAGACUAAAAAAGGAUGGGGAGUGAGGAGGAAAGGGGCAAGGUAAGGGGGAAUGAUAGGAAAGGAAGAACCAGGAGAGGAAAAAAGAUGGAGCCAUAGUGGAACAGAAGGUUGAGCCAGAGGAAGGGGGAGAGGGAUUGGGGCAGGGUCUUAGAGGAGUCAGAAUCACCUGGAGUAUAAGCCUAGGAGCUGAAGGAAAAGGGCUGGAGUUUAGUAGGUGUUUGUGGUUUUUUUCUUUUUUUUUUCCUUGCUGUGAAAGUAUGGAGUGUGGGGAUCAUUGCCUAUGGAGCUGUCAACAGACUAGUCAGCUCAGCCAAGUGUCUGUUGGAGGGAAACUGGAACUGAGGUCAGACUCCUCAUGGCCUCUAUUGUGGGUGUCUCAGAUCCUACAUUUGAUCUUAAAAUUGUAAACUCGGAAAAGCAGAUUUUUCUUUUUCUUUUUGGUUUUUGCUGGGGCCCUGGGCUUCAGUCUCUAAAGGGAAAGUUAUUGGAGGAGGAAGGCAUUCCAGAAAGGAAAGAGCAAUAGAAUAUAAGUAACAAAAGGGAAUGAAAGAGGGCUUCCCUGGUGGUCCAGUGGUUAAGCAUCUGCCUGCCAAUGCACAGGGCACAGGUUCGAUCCCUGAUCCAGGAAGAUCCCACAUGCCUUGGAGCAACUAAGCCAUGAGCCACAGCU